GGGGAUGUGGUGAAAUUGGUAGACACGCUAGAUUUAGGAUCUAGUGCUGCGAGGCGUGGGAGUUCAAGUCUCCCCAUCCCCACCA
rnacentral:tRNA from 1 species